AGCUGUUCUGAGAGGAUGAUCAGCCACACUGGGACUGAGACACGGCCCAGACUCCUACGGGAGGCAGCAGUGGGGAAUAUUGCACAAUGGGGGAAACCCGUGAUGCAGCCAUGCCGCGUGUGUGAAGAAGGCCUUCGGGUUGUAAAGCACUUUCAGUAGGGUAGGAAAGGUAAUAGUUUAAUAAACUAUUACUGUGACGUUACCUACAGAAGAAGGACCCGGCUAACUCCGUGCCAGCAGCCGCGGUAA
rnacentral:rRNA from 1 species